CCUACGGGAGGCAGCAGUGGGGAAUAUUGCACAAUGGGGGAAACCCUGAUGCAGCGACGCCGCGUGAGUGAAGAAGUCCUUCGUUAUGUAAAGCUCUAUCAGCAGGGAAGAAAAUGACGGUACCUGAGUAAUAAGCCCCUGCUAACUACGUGCCAGCAGCCGCGGUAAUACGUAGGGGGCAAGCGUUAUCCGGAUUUACUGGGUGUAACGGGAGCGUAGACGGUUGUGCGAGUCUGGAGUGAAAGGCGCGGGCUCAACCCCCGGACUGCUCUGGAAACUGUACGGCUGGAGUGCAGGAGAGGUAAGUGGAAUUCCUAGUGUAGCGGUGAAAUGCGUAGAUAUUAGGAGGAACACCAGUGGCGAAGGCGGCUUACUGGACUGAAACUGACGUUGAGGCUCGAAAGCGUGGGGAGCAAACAGGAUUAGAUACCCGGGUAGUC
rnacentral:rRNA from 1 species